AGGACGAACGCUGGCGGCGUGCUUAACACAUGCAAGUCACGGGGGCUCGCAAGAGCAACCGGCGAACGGGUGCGUAACACGUGAGCAACCUACCGAUUUGUGGGGGAUAGCCGGCCUAACGGCCGGGUAAUACCGCAUACGCUUUCCGGGUCUCCUGACCUGGGAAGGAAACCUCCGGGGCAAAUCGAGGGGCUCGCGGCCUAUCAGCUAGUUGGCGAGGUCACGGCUCCCCAAGGCGACGACGGGUAGCUGGUCUGAGAGGAUGGCCAGCCACAUUGGGACUGACGAACGGCCCAGACCUCCCGACGGGAGGCAGCAGUGGGGAACUCGUUAGCGACGAAGUCGGGACGAAAGCCGUAGACGCGAGCGACGCCGCGGUGGGGAUGGUACGGGUUUCGGCGUUACGUAAACCCGUGUU
rnacentral:rRNA from 1 species